rnacentral:rRNA from 1 species
UCCUACGGGGGGCAGCAGUGGGGAAUAUUGUGCAAUGGGCGAAAGCCUGACGCAGCGACGCCGCGUGAGGGAUGAAGGUCUUCGGAUCGUAAACCUCUGUCAGCAGGGAAGAACGGUCACUGUGCUAAUCAGCAGUGAAUUGACGGUACCUGCAAAGGAAGCACCGGCUAACUCCGUGCCAGCAGCCGCGGUAAUACGGAGGGUGCGAGCGUUAAUCGGAAUUACUGGGCGUAAAGCGCUCGUAGGCGGUAUGUCAAGUCAAGGGUGAAAUCCCCGCGCUCAACGUGGGAACUGCCUUUGAAACU